UACGGAGGGGGCUAGCGUUGUUCGGAAUUACUGGGCGUAAAGCGCACGUAGGCGGAUUGUUAAGUCAGGGGUGAAAUCCUGGAGCUCAACUCCAGAACUGCCUUUGAUACUGGCGAUCUUGAGUCCGGGAGAGGUGAGUGGAACUGCGAGUGUAGAGGUGAAAUUCGUAGAUAUUCGCAAGAACACCAGUGGCGAAGGCGGCUCACUGGCCCGAUACUGACGCUGAGGCACGAAAGCGUGGGGAGCAAACAGGA
rnacentral:rRNA from 1 species